AAAGUCGUAACAAGGUAACCGUAGGUGAACCUGCGGUUGGAUCAUUACUGAUUUAACUUGGCCUGAGGUGAGCUCUAACGAGAUCCCUCAGUGUCAUCAACACUUUGUGCACUCUGUUGUAUUUGGGUUGAUUUUGAGGUGGAAGCUUCAAGUCAGCCCAACAAUGAAAACAAACCUUUAUUCUUUUGACUGAAAUCUCUAUGUAAAUAGAAACAACUUUUGACAACGGAUCUCUUGGCUCUC
rnacentral:misc_RNA from 1 species